UCAGGAGAUGUUUAUCCUAUAAUAUUGAUUUUUCGAUCGGUUUCGUGUGUCAAAUACAAGAGUAAAUACUACAGUACCCAUGAGCCUUAUCGACAUCUACUAUGGUGAAGGCACCAGCUAAAACUACAUGUGGGCCCGCUGCAGAUCACAAUAUUUUCUCAACACAUGAACACUAACGUGUGCUUGAUAAUUCAACAAUACGAUGUUAUGGCCAUCAAUUUUGAUUGUUUCUACUUUGAUUGUAAAAAAAAUAAGUCAGUUUCGGACGCCUGCAUUUCCCAGAAUCCUCUCUGCCUUCGUUGCUAUGGAAUCUGAGCCAGUCCUCUUUGCUAUUGGGUGAUUUCUUCUUCGGUACUCGUAAUUGACAGGGAUUCUCUCAUACGCGAAAAUCAUUGUCCAGGUAAGUGAUGCUUUCGUUUAAAGUUCACUAUUUGUUUAAAUGUUAUAAUUCACGCCUUUCUUUUGGCAUUACGCUGACAUUGCCAUAGCCGUACGAAAAUUAACCAUGUUUUUGUGGUAAAAGUGUAGUAACUACGGUUUGUGUAUCGAUUAUUUGCAAAAUGGUUUUACUAAACCAAACAUGGUUUAACUUUUUUUUUUCAAAUUCAUGGUUCUUUCUUAACUUGCAACCUAUCUCUAUAUAUACUGCAUCUGUUGUACCUGUCUGUCCAGCUGUGUGUUUGUCUUUCUGUCUUUGUCUGCUUUGCAAUGGCCACCAGAUAUACCCCUCACAAACAGGAUCCCCGCUACCAAGAGGGGAGGCUCAUGGCUCUUGAGCUGAACCAUGACCACAUUCUAGCUGAAGCCAAGAGAGCAGUUGUGGAGACGAAACGUUUAUGCCCUAGAAGAGACCCUUCACAGACCUCUAACAGGAUCUUUGUUGGCUGGGGCAAGCCGAGGGGGAGGCAAGGAGGGUGACGCCAAGCCUCAGCUACAGGUCACUUUUACAGGUUGAGUGCUUCCUGUCAUCCAGUGUGGAGUUUCCACUUAACUGUACCCUCAGCAAAACUAAAUCCUCAAGAGGAAUAUGGU